rnacentral:rRNA from 1 species
GACGAACGCUGGCGGCGUGCCUAAUACAUGCAAGUAGAACGCAGAAGGAGGAGCUUGCUUCGCUGGAUGAGUUGCGAACGGGUGAGUAACACGUAGGUAACCUGCCCUGUACCGGGGGAUAACUAUUGGAAACUAGAGCUAAUACCGCAUAAGACUAGAUGUUGCAUGACAUUUGCUUAAAAGUUUCAAUUGCGUGACUAGCACAUGGACCUGCGGUGUAUUAGCUAGUUGGUGGGGUACCGGCUCAUCAAGGCGACGAUGCAUAGCCGAGAUGAGAGGGGGAACGGCACCACUGGGAGUGAGAGACGGCCCAGGAUCCUAGGGGAGGCAGAGGUAGGGAAGCGUAGGAGAUGGGGGGAAGUCUGAACGAGGAACGCCGGGUUGAUGAAGAAGGUUUUCGGAUCGUAAAACUGUGUUCUAAUAGUAGACCGCGUGCGCGAGUGGAAAGUCCACACUGUGACGGUACCUGAAGAGAAAGGGACGGCUAACUACGUG